rnacentral:rRNA from 1 species
UACGUAGGGACCGAGCGUUGUCCGGAAUCAUUGGGCGUAAAGAGCGUGUAGGCGGCUAUUUAAGUCCUGCGUGAAAUCCUGCGGCUCAACCGCAGACGGUCGUGGGAAACUGGAUGGCUAGAGUGCGGGAGAGGAGAGUGGAAUUCCCGGUGUAGCGGUGAAAUGCGUAGAGAUCGGGAGGAAUACCAGUGGCGAAGGCGGCCUUCUGGACUGACACUGACGCUGAGGCGCGAAAGCCAGGGGAGCAAACGGG